GACAGCAAACCCACAGUCUCUGUACAAAAACACAAGCUGACACACUGACGAGCUGCUGGAAGCCUUUUUUCCACACUGUUCCACUCAACUUUUUACCUCCACUAGAGGGCCACAUUAUCAAGCAGGCGCUGCACUACUUCUGCACUGUGUUCAACCAUCUGUCAAUAAUAACUGCUGCUGUGAAGAGAACCAUUCUCACUCUGAAUGCUGAACAUCAGCUACUUUCUCCUCUUCAUUUCAGCCUCGUUGUACACAUGGAACAUUGGCUGUGGAUUAUUCUUGCUGCUCUUUGCUUUGAGUGUAAAGGAGAAGACAGAGUGAUCCAGCCAACAGCAGAUGUCAUUGCUACUGAAGGAGACACAGUUACACUGGACUGUACAUUUGAGACCAGUGACCCAAGUCCCUAUCUGUUCUGGUACAAACAAGAAGAAAAUGGUUUCCUGAAACUUGUGCUUCGACGUUUCUCUGGAGGAACAAGUAAUUAUGAAGAGCAAGAGAGAAUUGAUGCUACAGUCAACAAGACAUCAGUUCCUCUGAAGAUCCAGAAGCUUCAGCUGUCUGACUCUGCUGUGUACUACUGUGCUCUGCAGCCCACAGUGACAGGAAACAGCAAAACUCUGCACAAAAACCUCUGCAGCAAACACAACACAAUACUCCACAACGUCCACUAGAGGGAGUCACACUAGCAGAAACUGAUGAAAUCAAGUGUUGUUGGAUGGUAAC